ensembl:misc_RNA 7SK 7SK RNA
GGAUGCAAGGGUGAUCUGGCUGAUCUGGCUGGCUAAGGUGGUUGCCCCCUUCCUUUCUCACUGCUCCAUGCAUAUUCUUCCAGAAGUGCCAUGCUAGGUCCAAGAGAACCACCUUCCCAGACAAAAGAGGAUCAUUCUUUGAUUAAGGUAUGCUCCCCUACUAGAACCUUCAAACAAGCUCUCAAGUUACAUAGAAUAGAAUAUCUUGUCAUGUAUUCAUCUGUGAAUUACCUGCUAAUAGCUUUUGGU